rnacentral:rRNA from 1 species
GAAGUAGUUGAAAAGCUACGCGAUAAAGGGUUAUAGCCCCGUAUCUUAAAUUGGUUUAAUACCUAGCAGGAUCCUGAGUACAUCGAGAAACGUUAUCUUGAUCGAAGUCGCCCAGACCAUUGGGCAAGCCUAAAUACUAACUAGUGACCGAUAGCGUAUAGUACCGUGAGGGAAAGGUGAAAAGAACCCAGGGAUGGGAGUGAAAUAGAUUCUGAAACCAUAUGCCUACAACGUGUCAGAGCACAUUAAUGUGUGAUGGCGUGCGUUUUGAAGUAUGAGCCGGCGAGUUAUGAUAGCAAGCAGGUUAACCUUUAGAAGGGAAGCCGAAGCGAAAGCGAGUUUGAAUAGAGCGAAUUAAAGUGUUUGUUAUUAUAGACCCGAAACGGGUUGAGCUAGUCAUGGGCAGGUUGAAGUUAGAGUAACAUCUAAUGGAGGACCGAACCGACUUUCGUUGAAACGACAGCGGAUGACCUGUGACUAGGGGUGAAAUUCCAAUCGAAAUCCGUGAUAGCUGGUUCUCGUCGAAAUAGUUUUAAGACUAGCGUAAGAUCAUGAUCAACUGGAGGUAGAGCUACUGAAUGUAUGAUGGCGCCGCCUUGGUGUACUGAAUACAAUUAAACUCCGAAUGC